rnacentral:lncRNA from 1 species
UCCAUUGGACACUUUUUAAAGCUGUUAUCUUCCUUGCCUUUCUUUUAAUGUUUAAUUCUUUUAAAAGUUUAACCCAGGGGUGCUCUACCACUGAGCUGCACCUUCAGCCCUUCUUUAUUUUGAAACAGGGUCUCCUUGAGUUGCUGAGGGUGGCCUCAAACUUCAGUCCUCCUGCCUCAAGCCUUCCAAUUCACUGGACUACAGGUGUGUGCCACUGCACCUGGCAUAAUAUUUUGCACUUUAGAUGCCUCCCUCCUUGAAGCUCCCAAUUGGCUAUUCCUGUUUUCCUCCAGUCUCUCAGUCACACCCAGUCCUGUGUUUCUCUGCCUGCUCCCUAACUUCCAUUUCCCCAGGGCUCCAUCCUCAGGAGAGAGGGGCCCCUCUCUUCUCAUUCUGUACAUUCUUUCUGGAUGACUGCAUCCUGACCCCUGUCUUCAAUGACUUCCUAUAAACAGAUUGUCCAAGACCAUGCUCUUGACUCCAGUUACCACUUUGUCCUGAGCUCCAAACAGCCCCUCCAGAUGUCCAUGGGAGGCCCUCAUCUUGUGGUAUCAUAGAAGGCUCUGAGAGUGAGUGAGCUCAGCCCCUACUUGCAUCUCCUGUCCUCCUCCCAGACCAGCACCCCUUCCUGACACCUUGUUCCAUUCUCUCAGGCAGUAACCUGAAGUCAUCCUUUACCCUUACUGCAAUUUGGAUCUGGAAUGUCCCCUAAAGUCUCGCAUGUUGAAGGUUUGGUUCCCAGUGCAGUCAUGUUCGAGGUUGGGCCUUUGGGAAGGUGACUGGAUCGUGAGGCUCUACCUCAUCAGUGCAUUCAUCUCUGGGUGGCAAUACUGGGAGGGGUGGAAACUGGAGGAGGUGGGGCCUAGCUGGAGGACUUGGGUCACUGGGGACAUGCCUGAGAAGCGUGUAGCUGGCCCCUCUUCUCUACUUCCCUGCUGGCUGCCAUAAACUGAGCAGCUCUCCAGCACACCCUCCAGCCAUAAUGCUCUUCCUCACCUCCAGCCUACAGCUAUGACCUGGCAGCCCAUGGACUGAGACCUCUGAAACCACAGGACAAAAAUAAAGAUUUCCUCCUGUAAGUUAUUUUUCUCAGGUAUUUUGUCACAACAGUAAAAACCUGAGGAACAUAAUGCUUCCUCAUCUUCAUCCACUGGUCACACUCAGCCUCACAGCCUCUGUGAAUUCCUGGUCAGUCCCCAUCCCUUGGGCUCCUCAAACCACUGUUGUCUGGGUCUCAUCAUUUCUCUUCAAAAUGCUGCAGUGACCCCUCGACUGUGGCCUCUGCCACUAUUCCUGUUCCUGCAAUCUGUCCUCUCUGCUGCAGAGGAGGUCAAACUUCCCAAAUGUAACUUCCAUUCUGAUCCUUUUCCCCAAAUUCCUGAAGUACUGUGUCACUGAGACAAAACCAGUGUAACAAGACAUAAAAAUCCUCCCCCUUCUACCCAAGCGCAUUGUCAGCUGAUCCCAGCGUCUCUGGGCCCUGUCAACCUGGCAUCUCUGCUCUCAGCUUCACAUAGGAUGUUUCUCGGCCUCAAAUACCUUUCCUGCAAAACUGUCCCCAAAUCUACCAUCAUUUCUUUUUAUUUGCUGACUCCUAGUCCUCCGCACUUCCUACUCUGCUCCUGAGAGUGCUGUGCCCUUCCCCAGGGCUGUGCUGUUCCACUGUGAAGUCACUUGCCAUCGCUCCUGUCAUCAAGGAGCACGUGAUGUCUAUCCCUUAUCCAGUACCUUGG